UACAGAGGUCUCAACCGUUGUUCGGAUUCAUUGGGCGUAAAGGGUGCGUAGGCGGUCGUGCAAGUCGGAUGUGAAAUCUCAGGGCUCAACCCUGAAACUGCAUUCGAUACUGCGUAGCUAGAGUGCUGGAGAGGAGACUGGAAUUUACGGUGUAGCAGUGAAAUGCGUAGAUAUCGUAAGGAAGACCAGUGGCGAAGGCGAGUCUCUGGACAGCAACUGACGCUGAGGCACGAAGGCCAGGGGAGCAAACGGG
rnacentral:rRNA from 1 species